AUGCAUUCAGUAUCAAAACAUGAUUCCGUUCAUCAAAUGUCAAAAUCGUCUAGAGGACAAAGCAUGUUUUCGAGACGAUCAACAAGACGCGAUACUCUACGUACUUAUUUAUGUUAUUUCCGUACAGUGUCUGCUUUAGAACCAACUCUCCUAGAGAAAAGGCUUUGUGAGGCAUUCAAUGUAUUUGAUAGCGGAAAAGUUGGUGAAAUAGAUGUCAGUGAUUUAGGAACAAUUAUUCGAGCAUUAGGAUGUGUUAUUACCGAAGCAGAAUUGCAAGAGAUACAAGUUGAAGUGGAAAAUGUAGAAAACAAUUGCGUACCAUUAAAUAGAUUUCUAGAGUAUAUGUGUAAAUCUAUAAACGAACGCAAAUUUAAGCCAGCUGAACCAGAGAACUUGUUAAAAGCAUUUCAAUUACUAGAUCGUGAAAACAGAGGAUACAUUAUCCGCGAUGUCCUAGAAAAAGCAAUGAUGGAAAUUGCGGAACCAUUUUCGGAACAGGAAAUAACUGAUAUGAUGGCUAUUGCAUGCGAUCCGCAAACAAACAGAAUCAAUUACGAGCAUUACAUUAAUUUACUAAUUGUGAAAAUAUCUAACGAAUUAAAUGUAUACUCUAUCGUUGACGAAAUGGAUGCUGCUUUAUUAGAAGCUACACCUAAAAAACGUAGACUGGAAAGUCUUCUUCAGAGCUUUCAGACUUAACUUGCUGGAAAGACAUAAUUUUGUGAUUAAUCGAAGUAAUAUCGUCUACUAGUACAGGAAAUACAAGUAGCAACGAAAAUUUGUUAUUAGUGGAGUAAUAUUGACGCUUACAAUAUGAUCAAGACUAUCUUGAACAGGAUGAUCUCUCGAAUAAACUAAACUUAAUUUCGAACCUUGUACCGCAACUGGACUUUUACUUGCUAUCUGUUCUGCAAGUUCCAUUGAUC